UUUAGUCCGUCAGUCAACAACGGAUCGCGAACGCUUACCCGCAUGGGUGGACUUGUGCAGCUCGUCGGCAACCGAUCGUAGUAGUUCGAACCGAUCAGCCAACGCGCGCGUACGCAAUCGACUUUUAGCGCGCACCACACUACUGUAGUGAAGAAACUGAUAGUAUUCCCAGUGUAGUGCAUCAGCAAUAAAUCAGAAUCAGAACCAAUCUCCGGCAGGGUCCAGUUCGAUGGCCAUCUGUAGUGUAGGCGUCCAACGGUCAACGACAGCUAACCAACAAAGAGGCUGAUACCACUUGCUCGUUAAACUUCUUUGAACAUUCAAAAUGACGCUACUCAAAGGUGGACUUCCGAAGCGGCUGAUAGUCGCAAUAAUGAUCUUCGUUGCGUGUUUUACAUCCUUCAUGUUACGUGUGAACAUGUCAAUCAGCCUGCUCGCCAUGGUACACCCAACGGUGUACCCGACAGAAGCCAACGAUACUAUGCAGCUUGACGAUCAGAGCACGAUCAGCAAUGAAUCGUCCAUUACUAAUGCAACAAUGAACAACUCUUCGGAAGCCAUCUAUUUGAGCGAAAAGUUAGAGGUCCCAAACUAUGGGCCACGCUACGAGUGGGACCAGGGCACGCAAGGUCGGAUUCUGGGAGCAUAUUUCUACGGAUUCAUGUUCACCUCGCUUCCGGCCGGACUUCUAGCGGAACGUUUUGGACCAAAACUACUGGUUACAUUCUCCUUCUCUGCAAGUGCCAUCGCUACCGCAUUAACUCCCAUGCUAGCUGAAGUGGGACCUUGGUACGUGAUAGCCUCGCGAGCUAUUGUAGGAGUGCUUGCAGGGUUCGUAUAUCCUGCUUUACAUAACUUGAUAUCGCGAUGGAUUCCACCGAAUGAACGCGGUAAAGUCAUAGCUUGCAUUGCCGGUGGCAGUACCUUUGGAACAGUAAUUACGUGGCCAAUAGCUGGCAUACUGACGGAGAAGUUCGGUUGGGCACAAGCGUUCUAUGCCCCAGCCGUGUUCAUCCUAGCGGUCGGUGUAAUAUGGGCGCUACUGAUUACGGAUACGCCCGACAAACACCGUACGAUAACCCCGACGGAGAGAAAACUGAUUGAAGAUUCCUUCGGAAACACAAUAUCGAAAACAAAGUCUUGGCCUCCACUUGGAAAAGUUCUAACUUCAUUGCCAUAUUUAGCCCUGAUGCUUCUACACUACGGAAACAUCUGGGGAAUGAGCUUCUUUAUCACCCAAGCACCAAAGUUCAUGAACGAGGUUCUCGGCUUUAAGCUGGCGAAUGCCGGUUUUCUGUCUAGCCUGCCGUACUUGGCAAGAAUGUUCUCCGGAUUCUUUUUCGGGUUGAUCGGUGAUGUCAUCCGACAGAAGGAUCUCAUGAGUACGACGGCUGUGCGCAAGUUUUUCUGUUUGUUCUCUCAUAUUAUCCCGGGAAUUUUUCUGAUCGUUCUACCAUUCAUAGCCCAGGAUGCACUCGUUUGUGUAGCGUGCAUUGUGGCUUGCUUGGGUUUCAAUGGGUCGUCCACCAUCACCAACCUGGUCAACGCACAAGACCUCGCACCGAACUUUGCCGCGACAUUGUACGGAUUUUUGAACUUCCUGGGUACUACCACUGGAUUCAUAGCACCCAUGCUAGUCGCUUUCUUCACAUCAGAAAAGAAUACAAUCGCCGAAUGGAAAUACGUAUUUCUGAUCAGCGCUGGGAUCUACAUCGUAAGCGGUCUCAUCUUCAUGGUAUUCGGAUCCGGCAAGGUGCAAAAAUGGAACGAAAUCAAGCCAAAGUCUACGUCCUCGUCGGCAGUCGCAAAGGAGAAAGAAAAUGGAGCAACGAGUAGAAAAAACAGUUUAGAAAUUGGCGAAAUCAAAAGGCAAUAACACGAAUUUAAGCACGAUUCACGUGAUACGUCAGUCUCCGUUAACGAAAUGGAACGUCGACGCCAUGUCGUUGAUGCUUCCGGAUAAGCUCAAUAUUUACAUUUCUCGAGUAAUUGGGACUCGAAAGCCAACUGUCAAAAUCUCGCGUGUUUUUAGACAAAGGGCCAAUAAGCCUGCUGUCAAAAUACAUUUUGGGAGAAAAUUCCGGACAAACCGCAACUUGCCGAGAAUAGAUGUUAAUAUUUUAUGAAAGAGAAAAGUUUUCUCUUUCGUCUGUUGCUGUGAUUUAUGUUCGGCGAUUGAUGGUUUGUCCAGAACUUCCCCUCAAAGUGAAUUUUGACAGUAUACUUAUUGGCCCUUCUCAAAAAACACGCGAGAAAUACUCUUUAGGGGACGAACCGUUACUCGAUAACAGCAGAUCACAUCUCUUUUGUCCACUGAUGUGAUUUGUACACGGCGAGAAACUAUUUGACCGGAUUUUCUCCUCCAAGGUUUUGUUUUGUGACAGUUGGCAUUUCAGUCCUUUCCUUAAUUUACUUAGGGCGCGUGUGCCUAUUCACACGUUCUAUGUGUCGAAACUUUCCAUGAUAUUCUAAUGACAAAGCUUGCGGGUGACAAAAGGCUGGCGAAUCAAGAUAAUCGAUAGUGAAUUGGCGAAUUGACUUAUCUCACAAUCGAUUCAAUAUUUAGGCGAAACUUUCAGAUCACAGAAAAUCACUAACGUUUUCGCCCGAAUGCAAACAGAAACUCUUUUGCAUUCGGAUGAGUUACUGUACGAUCUGAAAAGUUAUCCUAAAAAUUCCAACCAUUUUUAUAGUCGAUAAAGUCACAUAGGUACUUUGAUCGAUCAACUAACGAAUUGGUUAAUCCACUGCUCACCCUCGCCGUCGGCCUCUAUGGUCCAAUAGCUGAUGCAGCGGGAGAAGGUCUUCUCAAAAGUUCGUCGGCGAGGGAUAGCUUGAUGACAACAGCAAAGCGAAGACAAUAGGGGAACUGAGGGAAGGCCUUUCAAAGAAAUUUCAAACAUACAAAAACUGCACUUUUUCCUUAUUGUAUAGGCGAAACGAAGGAUGAGGAUAAGAAGGACAGUUAUCCAAAUAUCAUAAGUUCUAGUUUUAAAACAGAUAUUUUCAAAGGGAUUACAAAGCAGCUAGAUCAACUAUAUCACCGAUAACAGACGUUUAGACUCAUAUUAAAAACAUGUGUAGCACCUGUUACUGACCAUUUCGAAUAAAGCAACCGUUUACCAUACGUUUAUAUGCAGCGCAGUGAUCGAUACUCCGAAGCCAAAAUAUAUCUACGUGUAACAAACAACUGAGUAGAUAACAGUAAUGAGUCAUUUAUUUUGUAACGCAUAUCGAUUUGAAAUCCCACAAAGAUUUUUAUUAAAUUUUGCUCUGGUCGAAAUGUCUAUUAUUUUUAUCAAAUUUUUUAAUUUUACAUUUAUCAAGCAUUUUCAAAGAGUCCGCAGCGCAGAUAAUCAUUCACACACUAUUUAGAGCUUUGCUAUUCAACGCGCAUUAAGCUGUUAUGAUGUGUUAUCAAAAUACUGCUUCAGUACUGGAUUUCAUAAAUGUUGCAAAGCAUUAAAAUUUAUUCGUAAAGAGUAUUGAACUUUUUCACAACAUUCAAAUUUUUUAAAGUUUGUUUAUUCUUCCUCAAUUAGAUAAUAGUUGAUCAUUUAUACAUAGGAUACUAAUAAAAAAUAUAACUGUAAUUAAAUAGUCAAAAAAUCAACAAAUGUCCGUCUUCCCGCCUUACACAGUUCCCAAUAUAAAUUAUUACUAUAAGACUUAUUCAUGUAUAUACAUGAUGUGAUCGAGCCUUACAACUAGUAAAAAUAAACGAAAGUUUUAAAUAAAUUUGGAAUAUUUUACGAGA